GCUUUGGCUUCCAUGGCGGCUUUGAGCUCGGCGUCCAGUUUGUCCGGGCGACCUGUCACCAGAGUGACGGCCAGAGCGACGAGUAACAAUUGACGGAUCAUCUUGAUGUAUGUAUCCUAUUUUCGAUUGAAAUUAACUUUCGCGUCCUUCCUAUCGGCUCUGGUACAAGGUCGGCUGGGCUCUUCAACGAAAAAAUAUCCAAGUUCUUCCAGCUCACGUCCAGAAGAAGAAGAUGCGACCGAGAGAGUUUUUUCCAUCGUCGUCACCAUUUUCACGACCUUUGAUUAUUCAUCAUCGCCCACUUUUGCGAAUCGUUGACCGUGAAGUUUGGAGGUGGCAACCUUUUUCCUGAUUUCCAGCGCAAACCCAGAAGGUUAUCCGGCCUUAUAUAAACUUGCUGGGAUGAAUUUAGCUAAAGAAAUGGACAACAAUUUAAGAAGGUUAGUUUCGGUAUUUUUUUUUUUUUUCUUAUCUGAAUUUGUGGGGUUCUUUUCUUUCUCUAAUGGCGGCGACCAGCGUCGUGACGAGGCUCAUCAUCAUCACGAGAGAGAAGGGAAAGUCACACAAGUCGAUUGGCAGCCAGCCUAUGCUAUCUAUCCAUCGCCUUCUUUCUCCACACGAUUUGAUGAAAAAAAGUUCUUCUUCUUCUUUCAACCCCUUUGCUCGUUUUUUAUCUUUUCGGUAUCCAGCAGCAGCAGCACAGCUCGUGCAUGUCCUCUCUUUGGUAUAGUGUACACACGCUGGAUGUUUUUGGGAAGGGAAGAAGAAAAAAAAAAAAAAGACACUGGAACUUUCACUUUUCUUGGAUCCCCCGAGUGAUGGAGAUGAGACAUUUCUGUGCCAAGAGCACACACGUACAUGUUUUUUUUUUUUCUUUUGGUAUUUUUCUUAUUUUUCUUUUUCUUCUUCUUUGGUGUGUACCUUUGUGGAUUGUGCGCAUAGUAUAUAUCUACACACACACACACACACAUAGAUAAAAUAAGCUCUAGUGUAAUAAAUACUAGCGUGCCGAGUGUGUGUGUGAUGGCUUCCGUAUAAAUUAGAUGCAACAACCCGGAUCUCCGAGAGAGAGAGAGAGAAGGGCCCCCUGAUGGAUGCUGACGUAUUUUUGUUUUUUCCCGACCUUGAAAUCGCUUGCGUAUGAUAAUAAUAAUAAUAAAAAAAUGCAUCUCUGAUAGAAAGAUGGAGAGACAUUUACAUUUCUAUUGAUGUGGCACAUUCCACAGUUCUCUCUUCUCUCACUCACACACACACACACAAAACACAAAACCCGACGAUAGGAUUUUUAUUUUAUUUUAUUUUUUCGUUCCCCCCAAUUCUUCUUUCUCUUUUCUCUUUGAUGAUGAUGGGAAAGCUAAGGCGACAUGUUUCUCUCUUUCACUCUGUCAAAUGAUGUGUCGUUGACGGUGUAAAAUAGAGACAUUGUUUCGUCACUUUGAAUAGGAAAUGUGUCGAGACUUGUAGAGAGGUGGAUAUGCCAUCCAGAUCCGACUGUGGGAAUUUUUUUCUCCUAGGAUAUUUUUUUGAUGGACACUUGGCGAAAGUUUGGGAAUUUUUGUGUCUUUUUUUUUUGGUAUUUAUUUUUUGUCGCGACGGAUGAUAUAAUUCCGGUUUCAUUCAUCGAUGUUUUUGAGCUGGAGACUUUCGCUUUUGUUUUGAAAUCCAUAAAGUCGUAAUUUCUGCAUUGGUAAACACGUCGUAAAAGUAAACGCCAAUUGUGGCGAUUUUCUUUAUUUGUUUACAACCGCGCAAUUGUGCGGAAUUUUAUUUUUUCGCCAGACAUUUUGGCCAAUGUGAUUUAAUUGCUUUUAUUUUUUAUUUUUGACAAAUGAAAUUUCGUCAUUUGUGGUAAUUCCCGCUUUUUUGAAGGUGGGUAAAUACGGUUCAGCAACGCACAAGAGACGGUUGGUUCACCGGGUUUUACGCAGGCUCGUUUGCCGCUCGACUUGGUUCCGUCCGUUUUCUAAAUAGAAUUAAAACAACUUUUCUUGCGCACUCAAAAUCGCCUUGGCAUCGAUGAGGCAAUGAUGAAACUCGUUGGCCAAUUCACAACAACAAACAACAACAACAAUCUGCUGGCGAAAUAACACGUGAUCUGACUCUAUGCCAGUCGCGAAAGUAUCGGGGGGCCUCCUCUCCUGUUUAGAUUAAAAUAAAUUUUCUAUCGACGACUAUCCCGAGAGAAGAUUAUUGGAUGAUGAUGAAUAAUUUUUUCAAAAAAAUUUGUGGCUCUAAACAAAACCUUUUUUUUUUUGUUUUCCACAAAAGAAUUGUUCUCACUCGACGUGAAAGUGUUGAUUAGCAGUUUCGCAUCAAUCCAUCACGUGGCCCCUUUUUAUUUCUGUUUCUCUUUCCUUCUUUUACUAAAAGAAGAAAAAAACCGAAAUUCUUCUGCGACUUGUGAGGGUACACAACGUAUAUAAGUUGACGACGUCUUGGCGCCCGAUAAUGACCCAGGUGAGAGUGUGCCGGGCCGUGCCGAGAGAUUCCCGCGCACACACACACACUCACGAGAAGACGAUCCGGGCGCCAUCCAGUCGGCCCCGCCGGAGCCCCACAAAAAAGUCUUAUUCCCACUCGCCAACUCUUGCGCGCGCAUCACUCGUAUAAAUUUUCCCUUUUUUUUUUCUUCUUCCUUUUUACUUCAGGAUUGUUGUUGUUGUGGUUGUUGUUGUUGCCAUGUAGGCCUAAUGGUAUUUUAUUGGACGGUGAGGAAGAGGAACCCAGUGAGAGACAUUCCUGGAGCGUGAGUGCUGGUAUCUAUCUUGGCGACCUUCCACCCGCCGUUGUACCUCGGCGCUUUCACUCUUGAUAUUUUCAUUUUUACGAUUUGAUGGGGGGGAUCCUAUUCCGCAGGGUUAAAACAAAUAUUUAUUUUUAUUUUAUUUUGGAAAAAAAAAAAAAAAAAAACUUUCGAUAUUUUUUUGUCCGGCCAAAUUUUUGUUUCAUCCCUCAUCCGCAAUUUGGGAGGCGGGUGGGGAUGGCUGGUUUAUCCCCCACUUGCGUGUGUUAAUCACGUGCUAAUUAUGCAUAACAAGAAAAGAAAGGGACAGGCUAUUAUUGCGUUUGUGGCCGGUGGCGAUAUGCACCCAGCCAGAAUUGUUCGUCGAGCUAAAAUACUUGGAAUUAUUGCUGGGCAGCAGCAGCAGCAGCAGAAAAAAGAUGAAAUAACCUUGAGCCUAAUGCGCCCUCGGUCGUGGAUGUCUCUCCCACCGUGUGUUGCAGGUGCACACACACCAACACACCACUGGGCCCGUUGUUGAUGGCGCACUCUCGUUUGAGGCCGCACAUAAAAUAUGUGUAACACGUCAAGUGAUCCAUAUUUCGACAUCCCUCCUCCCCCACAAUUUGAUUCCAUUUGCAUUGCAUAAUGAGUCCGGCUGACAAAAAAAUAAGAAAAUUGGCCAAUGCCACAGAAUAAUAAUCCAGAAACGGAUUGUUGGCCAGGGCUCUGCUCACAGACGGAUGACGGAUGAAAUUUUAUUUCAUUUUAUUUUUUUAUUUCUGGAUUUUUAUUUUAUUUUAUUGAUGACGAUGAGGAAACGUGAGGGCAUUGUCUGCUGCCGGCGUUUAGAUAAACACGAGAGGGGGGAAACCAAAAAAUAUAUUAUUUAUAUAAUAAUAUAAAAAAAACUCACGACGGCCAUCGACGGUAUGGCCGGGCUGGAUGCGACCUUCACCUCCUUCUUCGGAAAAAAAAACUCGAGGGAAAUAAAUUUAUCCUGAAAUGUUCCAGCUGGACUCCAUCAGAGGUAACGAGAAGAAAAAGUUUAACUUUUUUUUGGUGCCCUUGAUUAUGGGGGCUGGUUAGGAGCUUGUCAGUCCCUGUCAAGUGUAUUUUCUUGAAUGUUCUAAAUGUGUUGCGAGCGUUAGUUAUUCUUUUUCUUUUUAACCCACCCCUAACUACUAAAGACGGCCCUGUCCGUCUGCUUUUUUUCUUUCUUUGUCUUUUGGUGGUUUCGCUUUCAAGGUUGAUGAGCUGGUCAAAGUGUCUGUUAUAGUGUCUGGACUUUUCUGUGAGUGUUUCUGAUCUCUUUGGCCCGUCAAGCGGUAGAAACGCAUUAAAAAUAAUAAUCGUAUGUGUGUAAUGUAGUUCCCCCACUUUUGUUUAAUUGAGUUUUUUUAAUUAUUAUUAUCGGGAGAGUGCUGCUGGGUUAAUCCGGUUACUGGAAUGACUUGGCAAAAAACAUUUUCCAGUGACGAAAGAAAAAUGUUUCAAGGACUAACAACGCCUCGAUCCUUCCUCAUCUCCAUUGACCUACGAUUUCUUCACCUGUGUGAAAUAUUUUGGUUUUACGUAACCACCCGCAUUUUGUUGGGUGCGCCCAAUUAUUUUUCGAUGAUUAAGAAUCUCAAUAAAAUCAAUCAAAUAAAUUUAAAAAAAAAAGGAAUUGCACCAUUGAAAUUCGAGUUUAUUCGAUUGAUUUUGAGGGGUUCAAUCUCGUGAAUUUAAAUCAAGUCACAAAUUGAAUGGUUGAAAAUGCACCGGAGAAUGAUUAGAAAGUUGCUUGGAGGGGUUGGACCACCAACGACCCAAAAGGUCGAAAAUGCGCAGUGGGAACGGGAGCCAAGAAUUUGCUUGAAAGAAGAGAAAAAAAUAAAUCUCUGAUGCGCAAUGCUCUUCUCUGAGGCUGAUGUUUUGCGCGCUGAUUUUUCUUUCUUUUUUCUUUCUUUCUCGUCGUGUUAUUUUCACACGGCCAGCAAUUACGCACAAGUGAGAGUCUUUUUUUUUUUCAAAGCAGCAGCAUUCCAUUACUAUCGAUUCAUUAUUGCGGUACGUCAUUUAUUUUUAUUCUUCCCAACAACAACAAGAAAGAAAAAAAAGAAACAUAUUUUCCUAUUUUUUUAUUGUUGCGGUUCGUUCUCGGCCCGGAGCAGCAGCUGCUGCUGUUUGCUAAUGUCGUGAACUCAAACACAGCACACACACACACACACACACACUCUCUCUGCGCUUGGUUUCAUUCUCACUUUUGUUCGGUUGAGUGACACGGGUCUUUCCCGCCUCCCUUUCUCCCUUAUUGUCGCAAUAAUAGCAAUUUUCUGCGAGUUUUAAUUCAGAUUUUUAUCUUUUGGGGGAGGUGGGGAGCUUUCUCCUGGCUUUUUCCGGAAUCUUCACUUCGUGAUUCACCAGUGGAUAAUGAAGAUUUUAUUUUAAUUAUUCACGUUUCUCUUUUUUUUCCUUCUUCCUUUUUUAUUUUAACCUCUCCACUUUUCCUUUCUUAUUUUUUGAAAUCUCGUAGUUUUCGGCUGACCGCUAGAUGUCAGUAGCUAUUAGGAGAGUCAUUUAUUAUUUCCGCCAUCUAGCGGACAACAAAUACGAAAAUUCAAUUUUAGUAGAUGGUCGAUAGAUGGCGCCACUGUUGAGCGCUGAAAAAAAGCGGGAGAAGACGAUUCACGUUUUUUAUUUUGUUUAGUGACGUGAGUAAGAAAACUUUUGUGUGUAGGUCGAUGGGGUCGGACGAGGGGGGUCGGGACGGUUCUUUCAUCCGUGAGGAGAGAUAACAAAAAGAAAGGAAAAUAUAUAAAAACGAACGGUGCAACACCGCAAGGGUCUCUGAUACGCCGUGUCGGUUCAAAGUUCGUUUUCCCUCGGAGCCGAGGACCCGAACGACGAACAAUCGAAUCGAAUGUCGGUCGUCUUCUUCUUCUUCUUUUCCUUAUUUUUUCCUCGGGUUUGAACUUUUGUUUUGUCGUGGGUUUUUUUCUUCUUUUUUCCCCUGACUUUAUUUGACAGAACUUUUUCGUCUUUGUACCGUUGCCUUUUUUAUUUUUUACAGUCUAAAUCGGGAAUGUUUCAACUCGAAUUUCUUUCCAAUGACGAAAACAGUUUAGAAAUUUGAAAAACAAAAUUUUUUUUUUUACCUUCACGCCUUCAGGGUGGGCCAAUUUUUAUAUUUUUUAUUUUAUUUUUCGUUUUGUGGAAAAUAAACCGCCACUUCCCCUCCGCCACUUCCGGAACGCCAAAAAAACCCCAAAAAAUCAUGUCCGUUUUUCUUUUCUUUUUAUUUUUUUCAGUGUUAUGUGUGUACGGUGUAGGUCAUUACGUCCAAUCAUUGCACGGAUAGUGAUUAUAGUUUUAGAGAAAGCCCCGACCACCGACCGCGAAAUGUAGAGAGAUACACAUAUCUGAACAAUAAAUAUUAUUGGCAUAUUUCCUUCAAGUCCUCUAGAAUCGAAUCGAUGCGGUUCGUGGUCGAACCCAACCAAAUCCGACAAACAAGAAACGAAAAAAAAAAUAAAUAAAUAAAUAAAAAAUCAGGCAAAAUUAGGUCAGGCGCCGGUGCUUUGCCCUUCCUGUCUGAAUAAAUAAAAGAAAAAGAAAAGAAAAAAGUUCUUCGUGAGUUCGUCACACGUCCAUUCAGAGAGUCCGUGUCAAAUUGUUUUAGUAUUUGAUUUGAAAAGUCAUCGAAAUGGCAGCAAUCAAUGGCAUACAAAGCUGCCACACACACAGAGGGACGACGAAUGUCUGGCCUGGAAAAAAAAGAAUGCAAUUCCCCCCCGUAGGCAUCUCACCUGACGUGAAUUUUCUUUCUUUUCUUUCUAUCAAACGAAUGUUCAUUCAGGUUGUUGUUGUUCUUUUUCUUUUAUAAAUUAAAAAAAAAAGGAGCCAAAAACUUUUGUGUGAACAACCGAGUGGCCAUCAGCUCCGGUUCGUCCGGUUCUUGUUAGAAAGAAGAAGAAGAAGGUGAACAACAACUGCUGCUGCUGCUACCAUUAUUGUAACACACGUUAACCCAGUUCCAUCCUUCUCUCCUCAACAUUCAUCUGCGUCGUCUCUCCACUUUUUUGAGCCGACCAGGAGAUCCGCGAGAAAGCUGACACCGUGUGCAACUGUGCAGCCGCCCUGGAUUUCGCCUGUCCAUUUCUUGCUGUUGUUUGGCGCAUUGUCUGUCACGCCGGACAACAUUUUCUUCUUCUUCGUGACGUCAAACCUUUUUUUUGGUGGGGGAGAGAUUGGAAAAUAGAAAAGAAGCAGACCGUGUCGUUUGGCGUCCGAUACAACAACAACAGCUGGUCUUAAUAGUAUAGUCAUAUGGAAGCUGAGAGAUGUGAUGAUGAGCAAACAAACGUGUGUGUCCAUUGGGUAAAGAAAAAAUAAAGAAAAACUAACGUGAAUGUAAGUCGACUAACUGGCGAUCCACCGCUGUAAAUAUAUAACACACAGGUAAAAUGGCAGUAGCAGCAGCAGCAGAGCGAUAGAUGUGUGUGUAUAUGUACAUUUUUUUCCCCCAGCAAAUGAACCGCUAUAUUUCAUAUCUCUGGCUAAGAAAAAAAAACCUACACUCACCGUUCACUUGGGCCCAGGUAUGUACGGUGAAUCGUGGUCAAUUUUUAUUUUUGAGCUUUUUUUUAUUCUUAACCGCGAAAAAAAUAUUUUCACAGUCUGGAAAGAAUGCGCUUCUUUUUAUUGUAUUACAUGGCGAAAAAAGAUAAAGAAAAAGAAGAAGAAAAAUUGACCAUCAAUUUUCAUCUGUAACACACAGGCAACAGGUGCGCGCCCUAAAUUGGAAUUUUUUUUUUCUGAAUCAAGAAAAAUAAUUAUUAUUUCGAUUCAAUUAGCUCGUAAAUCACAUUUGCCCCGGGGGGCUGAAAAAUUCUAUUUAUAGUUAAAAAUUGGUUUUUUGAGAAAUUUACUUUUUUUUUAAUGGGAAACGGAAACGUUUUGCUCGGAAAUAAAUCUAUAAUCAUUCUUUAGCUGCUCGUUAUAUUUUCUUUCUUUUUUUAAAGAGAUCAAUUUAAAGGGAAAAAAUCAGACCGUACUUUUCACCUGGACAAACAACCGCUAUAGCACAUUCCGUACGGUCAUUUUUCUUUUAGAACGAAAAAAAUAAAAUAAAAUAAAAAUUGGAACAUUCGGAACACGCAACAGGUGAGAGCUCCGUUGUGGGUCGAAAGGAAAAGUCGGACCUGGGCCUUUUUUUGUUAAAUAAAAUAUCGUUGUGGAUACUCGCACACAUAACCGAGUAACACUUUUUUUUUUCGUUUAAAGAUGAACAAUAUUUGACGUCAUCCGUCGUCCCCCUUUUUUUCGUUCGUUCGUUCGUUGAAAAUCUUUUUUUCCAACCAAAAUUUCGGCCAUUGGUUCCGCCGGGAAAAUAAAUUUUGGUGUGGAUUUUGUGACCUCA